AUUGAACGCUGGCGGCAGGCCUAACACAUGCAAGUCGAGCGGAUGAAGGGAGCUUGCUCCUGGAUUCAGCGGCGGACGGGUGAGUAAUGCCUAGGAAUCUGCCUGGUAGUGGGGGAUAACGUCCGGAAACGGGCGCUAAUACCGCAUACGUCCUGAGGGAGAAAGUGGGGGAUCUUCGGACCUCACGCUAUCAGAUGAGCCUAGGUCGGAUUAGCUAGUUGGUGGGGUAAAGGCCUACCGAGGCGACGAUCCGUAACUGGUCUGAGAGGAUGAUCAGCCACACUGGAACUGAGACACGGUCCAGACUCCUACGGGAGGCAGCAGUGGGGAAUAUUGGACAAUGGGCGAAAGCCUGAUCCAGCCAUGCCGCGUGUGUGAAGAAGGUCUUCGGAUUGUAAAGCACUUUAAGUUGGGAGGAAGGGCAGUAAGUUAAUACCUUGCUGUUUUGACGUUACCAACAGAAUAAGCACCGGCUAACUUCGUG
rnacentral:rRNA from 1 species